GAUGAACGCUGGCGGCGUGCCUAAUACAUGCAAGUCGAGCGAACGGACGAGAAGCUUGCUUCUCUGAUGUUAGCGGCGGACGGGUGAGUAACACGUGGAUAACCUACCUAUAAGACUGGGAUAACUUCGGGAAACCGGAGCUAAUACCGGAUAAUAUUUUGAACCGCAUGGUUCAAAAGUGAAAGACGGUCCUGCUGUCACUUAUAGAUGGAUCCGGGCUGCAUUAGCUAGUUGGUAAGGUAACGGCUUACCAAGGCAACGAUGCAUAGCCGACCUGAGAGGGUGAUCGGCCACACUGGAACUGGGACACGGUCCAGACUCCUACGGGAGGCAGCAGUAGGGAAUCUUCCGCAAUGGGCGAAAGCCUGACGGAACAACGCCGCGUGAGUGAUGAAGGUCUUCGGAUCGUAAAACUCUGUUAUUAGGGAAGAACAUAUGUGUAAGUAACUGUGCACAUCUUGACGGUACCUAAUCAGAAAGCCACGGCUAACUACGUG
rnacentral:rRNA from 1 species